CACACCCCGUGAUGUUGCUGGGUCCAGGGAAAUGAUAUCUGUUGGAGAACUACUUGACAAUCAUCAAGAUGAGCUCACCAAGAAAUACUGGAACAAAGCCUACAAGGCCUCCAUGUUUGACCAUUGUAUUUCCAACCUUUCCCAGUGUCACCAGAUCUGGUUUGAGGAUCGCCCACAGUCUGAGGCUCAAGUACCAGUAUGUCCAUGAUUUUGGCCUCAAAGGUAUUGCCAUUUACUUUGCUGAGGAUCUGUCAAAGUCCCAUACCCGA